UACGUAGGGGGCGAGCGUUGUCCGGAGUUACUGGGCGUAAAGCGCUUGUAGGCGGUCCACCAAGUUUGGGGUGACAGUUGCCGACUUAAUCGGCAAAGUGCCUCAAAGACUGGCGGACUUGAGGGCCACAGAGGGACAUGGAACUCCGGGAGUAGCGGUGAAAUGCGUAGAGACCCGGAGGAACACCAGUGGCGAAGGCGGCGUCCUGGCCUGCGACUGACGCUGUGGCGCGAAAGCUAGGGGAGCGAACGGG
rnacentral:rRNA from 1 species